AGAUCAAUAUGGCUGAUGUAGAGGUUGAAUGAUCAACACUGAAGAAGCCGCUAGUCUUGGUCACACCCUGUGCAAGGGUGAGAUAGAUGAGCUUCCCAAAUGCUGUUCCUGUGUGGCUUACCUGUGGAUGACAGGAGGGUCCUGAGGUGUGAUUUGCACAUUACCCUUUGGGUACAGGAGCAUUGGGAAUAGAGGCCUUUAGCAGAAAAGGGCCUCUAGCUUGCUGUCCCGAGAGAGAGAGAGAGAGAGAGAGAGAGAGAGAGAGAGAGAGAGAGAGAGAGAGAGAGAGAGAGAGAGAGAGAAGGAGGAUAAGCUCUGAGAUGAACAGUUGAAACACAUGUAAAGUUCCCAGGUUUUUGCACCUGGGCACCAGAAAAAAAGUUUAUGAGACAUUACCUAUGCUUGCUCUUCCUCCCCAGCUCUCUUGCCUUCUGUUCUCCCCAUGUGUUUGCUUUUGAUGUUAACUGCCAAGGCGGUGUGGUCUUAGACAGCAGGAAGUUAUAUUUGAUAUGCAGGUCUCCUGGGGGUGGGGGCUGGCGGAUGCCAGGACGGGAAGGGUGGCGGUUUUGGCACAUUAUUGUGAGAACUUUGUGCACUUACAAGCCAACAGGUGCUGUCAGAGCAAAGGGAGGGAGAGGUGACCUGCCAGUCAUGUAGGGAGCUUUUUUAUGGUAGUUUUUACCCUUAAGUUUUUAUAAAGUCACUGCCCCACAGGUUAGCUCCAGGUUAUGUUGGGAUCGUCCUUGAUACUGAAUCACAUAGCUAGUAAAUGUCAUGGCCAACGGUAUGUAAAAGCUAGGUGUGAUGGCUCAUGCCUGUAACCCCACCUACUCAGGAGGCUGAGGCAGGAGGAUCUUAGUUCAGGGCUAGCCUGGUUAACAGUGAGACCCUGUCUUUCAAAACAAAAAUAAAAACAAAGGAAAGGGCAUAUGAAAACCUAAAUUUAAGAAAAAUGAAAAUCCCUAAACCAAGACACUAUCCCUGAGAGUCUGAGUUUCAGUAGAUAGCUAGGAGAACACAUCCCACUCCACCAUAGUGAGACCUGGUCCAGCUCCCAGUCCUACUGUGAUAAAUGUGAUUCUUU
rnacentral:lncRNA from 1 species